rnacentral:rRNA from 1 species
UACGUAGGGUGCAAGCGUUAAUCGGAAUUACUGGGCGUAAAGCGUGCGCAGGCGGUUUUGUAAGUCAGAUGUGAAAAUCCCCCGGGCUUAACCUGGGAACUGCGUUUGAAACUACAAGGCUAGAGUGUGGCAGAGGGGGGGUGGAAUUCCACGUGUAGCAGUGAAAUGCGUAGAGAUGUGGAGGAACACCGAUGGCGAAGGCAGCCCCCCUGGGUUAACACUGACGCUCAGGCACGAAAGCGUGGGGAGCAAACAGG